UACAGAGGUCUCAAGCGUUGUUCGGAUUCAUUGGGCGUAAAGGGUGUGUAGGUGGCGCCGUAAGUCGGGUGUGAAAUCCCACGGCUCAACCAUGGAAGUGCUUUCGAAACUGCUGAGCUUGAGUACUUAAGAGGAUCGCGGAAUUCCCGGUGUAGAGGUGAAAUUCGUAGAUAUCGGGAGGAACACCAGUGGCGAAGGCGGCGAUCUGGGAAGAUACUGACGCUGAGGUGCGAAAGCGUGGGGAGCAAACAGG
rnacentral:rRNA from 1 species